GGCUGCACCACUCAGUUGGCUGUGGUAGACGGAGUCCGCGACGGAGGGGAGGGGCAGCGACAUAGGGAAGCGGCGGCGUCGUUCGGACGUGGACGGCGAGGGGAGGAGCGGCGGCGGCGGGGACCUGGGUGGCUGUCGGCCGCCAGAGCUAGGAGAGGAAGGAGCGGAAAUCAAGUGAUGUCUCUCUCGAAUCUCGAUGGGUGCGGUGGCAACGUAUCUCUUGAUGGAGAGCCCGUGUCGGUGGCAGCCGGUGCCACUGCCGACGCGCGCGGUGGAAUCCUCGGAGGAGUCGAGCUCUACGUCAUCGUUCGACCCAGUCGGUGGUGGACGAGCCCAUCUUCCGCACGACCCUCACAGGUUUGAGGCCCUCGGUGAAGAUCCUGAUGGCCUCCUCCGUCGUCUUGAUGCUCAGCAAGUUCAGAGAGUGUUUUCAGUGGAGUUGAUUGACCCAACAGUGAAAGGAACACUGAAUGUUCUGGCCUCCUACAAGCAAGCUUUUUAGUUGACCUUGCUACUGAAUCCCAUACAGGAUACGCCCGAACCAUACAAAGAUGAUGCGUGGAAUGCUGAUGUUGCCCCUUUGGCUACCUCGAUGUUGCCCAGAGUGGAUAGGAGGAAGAUAGUUCAUCGUCAUGAUCGAGCCCGCACGUGUCGUUGCUCGAGUCAGGAAAAAAAUAUUUGCUUAGUGAAAUUUACUUGGGAUGAUUAUGUGUUUUCUAGUGUGCUUUGCCGUGAACGAAGAUUAUAUUUUUUUAAAUUUAUGAUAUAUCUUGGAACCUUUUAUGCUCAUAUCCUACUCCUUUGUCUACUAUUUGUUCAUUGGUAGUGCAGGUUGCAGAUAAGCCUCGGCAAAACUGUAUUGCACAGGUUCCUUUAGUUCAGUUCAAAUUUAUACCCAA